rnacentral:misc_RNA from 1 species
GAAGGCAACAUCACCCUUUUUCUUUGAAUUUAAUGUUUCCUGCAUCUGAUUGGUCCACAUUUGGAAUGAGAGCUCAGUAGCCGCACCCUCAUCAUCUUUAUAUCCAAUCUUUUCUAUGAUCUCAUGUAUGGCGGUCAAAUCCAUUCUUAAGCAAGCCUCACCGAGGGGUGACAAAGGUAAAGGUGCAGCACCAUCUGGUAUACCCAUCAAUACAUGAGAAGGAACCUCGGUAUCCUUCUGAAGUGGAAUCAAAGCCGCAACUAAUGACUUUGGAUUUGGCCGUUCACGAGGCUCAUACUGCAAACAUCGAGAGGCUAAUCGCACCAAUUCAGUCCCAUCAUCAUUAGUAAAUUGGCCUUCCAAGCAAGAAUCAGUAAGCGUCUGAAUAUUCCUGUCCCUUAUCAAGUCCAGUGCAUGGCUGGGAGGAAUAUGUUUUCCACUGAGAAGAUCAAGCAAAAGGGUACCGAAGCUAUACAUUACACUUUCUGGUGUUACUCUCCCUGUUCUCAGAUACUCAGGAGGAGUAAAUGCCAGGUUUGUACUAUAACUUUUUCCAUCUCUGCUGUUCUUCAUCAGACCAAAGCAUGAAAGUCGAGGGUUACCCUCAUCAUCAAAAACAAUCCUAUAAGCAUUCAGAUCAUGAUACAGGGCACGGCCUUUACAAGUACAAUAUUCUAGAGCUUGCGCAAGAUGUAAAGCCACCCUAAGCCGCAUUGCCCAUUUCAUUGGUUGUGUUUCCCAAUGAAAUAAGUGUUUUGCUAAUGUAUCAUUGGGCAUAAAUUCUGUAACAAGUAGCCUCUCAUCCCCUUCACAACAACAACCAAGCAAAUUUGCCAGUCUAUGGUUCCGAAGCUGACCAACAGCUCUUGCUUCUUCCAAAAACUGUCUAGCAUCAGGCCAAGCAGAUCUAUUAAAUCGUUUUACAGCAAUCCUCCUCUGAUUCUCAAGCUUACCCUUGUAAACCACAUUUGGAGCUUUUUCCCCAUGUUCAGAAACUAUAUUCUC